GCUAACUACUACGUUAGCGCUAGCUACAGAGAGAAGGUACAGGCUAACUACUACGUUAGCGCUAGCUACAGGGAAAGUUACAGGCUAACUACUACGUUAGCGCUAGCUACAGGGAGAAGGUACAGGCUAACUACUUCGUUAGCGCUAGCUACAGGGAGAAGGUACAGGCUAACUACUACGUUAGCGCUAGCUACAGAGAGAAGGUACAGGCUAACUACUACGUUAGCGCUAGCUACAGGGAGAAGGUACAGGCUAACUACUACGUUAGCGCUGGCUACAGAGAGAAGGUACAGGCUAACUACUACGUUAGCGCUAGCUACAGGGAAAGGUACAGGCUAACUACUACGUUAGCGCUAGCUACAGAGAGAAGGUACAGGCUAACUACUACGUUAGCGCUAGCUACAGGGAAAGUUACAGGCUAACUACUACGUUAGCGCUAGCUACAGGGAAAGUUACAGGCUAACUACUACGUUAGCGCUAGCUACAGGGAGAAGGUACAGGCUAACUACUUCGUUAGCGCUAGCUACAGGGAGAAGGUACAGGCUAACUACUACGUUAGCGCUAGCUACAGAGAGAAGGUACAGGCUAACUACUACGUUAGCGCUAGCUACAGGGAAAGGUACAGGUUAACUACUACGUUAGCGCUAGCUACAGGGAGAAGGUACAGGCUAGCUGCUAAGUUAGCGCUAGCUGCAGAGGGUACAGGCUAGCUGCUAGGUUAGCGCUAGCUGCAGAGGGUACAGGCUAGCUGCUAGGUUAGCGCUAGCUACAGGGGGUACAGGCUAGCUGCUAGGUUAGCGCUAGCUACAGGGAGAAGGUACAGCUACAGGGAGAAGGUACAGGCUAGCUGCUAAGUUAGCGCUAGCUGCAGAGGGUACAGGCUAGCUGCUAGGUUAGCGCUAGCUACAGAGGGUACAGGCUAGCUGCUAGGUUAGCGCUAGCUGCUAGGUUAGCGCUAGCUGCAGAGGGUACAGGCUAGCUGCUAGGUUAGCGCUAGCUGCAGAGAGUACAGGCUAGCUGCUCGGUUAGCGCUAGCUACAGGGGGUACAGGCUAGCUGCUAGGUUAGCGCUAGCUGCAAAGGCUACAGGCUAGCUGCUAGGUUAGCGCUAGCUGCAGAGAGUACAGGCUAG